AGAGUUUGAUCCUGGCUCAGGAUGAACGCUAGCUACAGGCUUAACACAUGCAAGUCGAGGGGAAACGAUAGGGAAAGCUUGCUUUUCCUAGGCGUCGACCGGCGCACGGGUGAGUAACGCGUAUCCAACCUGCCCAUGUCUGGGGAAUAACCCGUCGAAAGGCGGACUAACUCCCCAUGGUCUCCGAUGAGGACAUCUGAAUUGGAGUAAAGCUUUGCGGACAUGGAUGGGGAUGCGUCUGAUUAGGUAGUAGGCGGGGUAACGGCCCACCUAGCCUACGAUCAGUAGGGGUUCUGAGAGGAAGGUCCCCCACAUUGGAACUGAGACACGGUCCAAACUCCUACGGGAGGCAGCAGUGAGGAAUAUUGGUCAAUGGACGAGAGUCUGAACCAGCCAAGUAGCGUGCAGGAUGACGGCCCUAUGGGUUGUAAACUGCUUUUGCGCGGGGAUAAUACCCUCCACGUGCUGGAGGUCUGCAGGUACCGCGCGAAUAAGGACCGGCUAAUUCCGUGCCAGCAGCCGCGGUAAUACGGAAGGUCCGGGCGUUAUCCGGAUUUAUUGGGUUUAAAGGGAGCGUAGGCCGUGAGGUAAGCGUGUUGUGAAAUGUAGGCGCCCAACGUCUGCACUGCAGCGCGAACUGCCCCACUUGAGUGCGCGCAACGCCGGCGGAACUCGUCGUGUAGCGGUGAAAUGCUUAGAUAUGACGAAGAACCCCGAUUGCGAAGGCAGCUGGCGGGAGCGUAACUGACGCUGAAGCUCGAAAGCGCGGGUAUCGAACAGGAUUAGAUACCCUGGUAGUCCGCGCGGUAAACGAUGGAUGCCCGCUGUGGCGCGCCUGGCGUGCCGCGGCUAAGCGAAAGCAUUAAGCAUCCCACCUGGGGAGUACGCCGGCAACGGUGAAACUCAAAGGAAUUGACGGGGGCCCGCACAAGCGGAGGAACAUGUGGUUUAAUUCGAUGAUACGCGAGGAACCUUA
rnacentral:rRNA from 1 species